rnacentral:rRNA from 1 species
UACGAAGGGGGCUAGCGUUGUUCGGAAUUACUGGGCGUAAAGGGCUCGUAGGCGGCCAACUAAGUCAGACGUGAAAUCCCUCGGCUUAACCGGGGAACUGCAUCUGAUACUGGAUGGCUUGAGUUCGGGAGAGGGAUGCGGAAUUCCAGGUGUAGCGGUGAAAUGCGUAGAUAUCUGGAGGAACACCGGUGGCGAAGGCGGCAUCCUGGACCGACACUGACGCUGAGGAGCGAAAGCCAGGGGAGCAAAGCGGGG